rnacentral:rRNA from 1 species
CAGCCGCCGCGGGAAUACGUAGGUGGCAAGCGUUGUCCGGAAUUAUUGGGCGUAAAGGGCUCGCAGGCGGUUUCUUAAGUCUGAUGUGAAAGCCCCCGGCUCAACCGGGGAGGGUCAUUGGAAACUGGGAAACUUGAGUGCAGAAGAGGAGAGUGGAAUUCCACGUGUAGCGGUGAAAUGCGUAGAGAUGUGGAGGAACACCAGUGGCGAAGGCGACUCUCUGGUCUGUAACUGACGCUGAGGAGCGAAAGCGUGGGGAGCGAACAGGAUUAGAUACCCCCGUAGUCCCUGUCUCUUAUAC